CUUUAUGAUUGUGUUCGGGUCUUACAGCAGCUAUGUAAAUCCUGCGUGAGUCAUGGCAGGCUGAAACCUGGCUGCCUGCAGAGCAGACACCAACUCCAUAAACCUGCCCCCCGAUGCCACAGUUCCUGACCUCCAGCUACACUCCACAAUCACAGUUAGACGGAGGGGUCCUAUAAUGACUUGUAAAGUUGAAAGUGGGCAGCUGAACAGGCUGUCUUGAGGAAGAGGUACCCACAGUCGAGGUGUCAGGAACAGAUUGUGACACUCGGUGACAUGGCAGUCAGGCAGAAUUACGGCGCACCUCUGUCCCACUGUCAUCCCUCCACAGCCAGCCGUCGGUCAGCGUUUCAGAGAUGGUACACUGCAGAAAACCCAUGUCUUAUCAAGUGGAUUUUUCUUGUUUUCAGGUUCAAAAUCCAACCCUUCUUAAAAUAAGAUACAUUUCUUUAACAAGCCACAUUUGUAUUAGAUAAUAACCCUUGGUUUGAGUGAAUAUGCCUUGAAAAUCUUGUUUAGCGUAUGAAUCUUGUUUAUAUAAUAAAUGUAUAAGUUCUUCUGACUUAAGAGAGAAACUGAAACAGAAUCGAGACAUCAGACGAAUAUUAUCAACUAAUUUUCCAAAAACUUGCCAUUUUCAGAUGCCUAAAUAUAUAUGUGCUUGUAUGCUUGUUACAAGGCAUCUUACCUAGUGUUAUUUGUCUUGUUCCAUUGGCCCAUUCAAGCAAAUAGCUCCCUAAAUGUCAUUAUUUUCCACCUUACUUUUUGAGAGUUAUUUUUUGCAGUGUACUGCUCUACAAAUCACAGAUAGACCAUCCGAAACAGACAGACAGAAACAGACAGACAGAAACAGACAGACAGAAACAGACAGACAGAGCUCCAUGGGUGCUUUGGGGGACGCCGCCUCUUCUCACAUGUUUUAAACAGGCACCCGGGUGGAUCUAAUCUUCUGAAAUAUAAUUAGUGGCAGAAAAAGCCUGAUAAUGUGACAGUGUGCAGUGACCUCAGAGCAGCCCUUAGGUGGUAGCAUAGCUGCCUGCCUGCCUGUCGCAUUGCAGUUCAUCUCUGCUAAUUAUUUAUUGUAGCACAGGGCCUCUGCCAGUAAUCAGGGGUCAUCAUAUUAAAAUAACAAA